AUUGAACGCUGGCGGCAGGCCUAACACAUGCAAGUCGAACGAGUGGCGGACGGGUGAGUAAUGUCUGGGAAACUGCCUGAUGGAGGGGGAUAACUACUGGAAACGGUAGCUAAUACCGCAUACCAUCGGAUGUUCCCCGAUGGGAUUCGCUAGUUGGGGGGGUAACGGAUCACCAAGGCGACGAUCCCUAGAUGGUCUGUGAGGAUGACCAGCCAAACUGGAACUGAGACACGGUCCAGACGCCGACGGGAGGCAGCAGUGGGGAAUAUUGCACAAUGGGCGCAAGCCUGAUGCAGCCAUGCCGCGUGUAUGAAGAAGGCCUUCGGGUUGUAAAGUACUUUCAGCGGGGAGGCGUUACCCGCAGAAGAAGCACCGGCUAACUCCGUGCCAGCAGCCGCGGUAAUAC
rnacentral:rRNA from 1 species